GACAAAUUGGAACAUAAACAGCUUAGGAUGCAAAUAACAGAACCAUAUUCUAUAUAUUAAGAAGGUUAAAACUAGGAAAAUUAAGCUGAAGCUAAAAACUAAUUAUAGACUCUUUGUAAGUUUGUUCAAAACACAAUAAAAAGAGCAUUGAUUUGAACUUCUUCUGUCAACAUAUUUUCUUCUGCUUUGUUGCUCCACACAAAUUCUAAAUGGAUCUAACAUGUGUUGCACUACUCCAAGCACGUUGACGAUUUUUACACCAAAAACACAAGCCCCGGUUGAACCAGGCUAAUGUGGAAUUCUGCAUCUUACUCGCACUUGAUUGAACGGUAUAUGUGGCGGACGAAAAACAAAGCAGCUCGGAAACCAACAGUUCCAAGCAUGAGAAAGAAGGCAUAGCAAAUGCAAGCCAUGUAACCAAGGAAGAAUGAGGUUUGCAUGAAACCUGACAUGUCUGAUCGGGCAUAAUAGUAAUACAGGCAGUAGCCAUAGAUGAACAAGCCGGUUGAUCCACCACAAACGAAUGACCUCCACCACCAUUCAUGGUCUUCCGCAGCAAGUUGGAAGUAUGUCAAA
rnacentral:misc_RNA from 1 species